rnacentral:rRNA from 1 species
GACAGAGGUGCCGAGCGUUAGGCGGAAUCACUGGGCUUAAAGCGUGUGUAGGCGGAUCUGUAAGUACCUUGUGAAAUCCCACGGCUCAACCGUGGAACUGCUUGGUAUACUGCGGGUCUUGAGCCACCUAAGGGCAAGUGGAACAAACGGUGGAGCGGUGAAAUGCGUAGAUAUCGUUUGGAACGCCAAUGGUGAAAACAACUUGCUGGGGGUGUGCUGACGCUGAGACGCGAAAGCCAGGGGAGCGAACGGG